rnacentral:rRNA from 1 species
AGUCCAGACUCCUACGGGAGGCAGCAGUGAGGAAUAUUGGUCAAUGGUCGGGAGACUGAACCAGCCAAGCCGCGUGAGGGAGGAAGGUACAGAGUAUCGUAAACCUCUUUUGUCAGGGAACAAGGGCGGGGACGUGUCCCCGGAUGAGUGUACCUGAAGAAAAAGCAUCGGCUAACUCCGUGCCAGCAGCCGCGGUAAUACGGAGGAUGCGGGCGUUAUCCGGAUUUAUUGGGUUUAAAGGGUGCGUAGGCGGGAUGCCAAGUCAGCGGUAAAAUACGGGGGCUCAACCUGCGUCCGCCGUUGAAACUGGCGUUCUUGAGUGGGCGAGAAGUACGCGGAAUGCGUGGUGUAGCGGUGAAAUGUAUAGAUAUCACGCAGAACCCCGAUUGCGAAGGCAGCGUACCGGCGCCCAACUGACGCUGAAGCACGAAAGCGUGGGUAUCGAACAGGAUUAGAUACCCCGGUAACC